rnacentral:siRNA from 1 species
UACAGUGCGGUACGGUUCAACUGC